CCCGAAACCACAGCCACGCCUCUGCUGCAAAUGUGUUGCUGGUCAAAGCACAGCAGGCCAGGCAGCAUCUCAGGAAUAGAGAAUUCGACGUUUCGAGCAUAAGCCCUUCAUCAGGAAUAAGAGAGAGAGAGCCAAGCCGGCUGAGAUAAAAGAGGAGGAGGUGCUGGAUGUCUUGAAACGCAUAGAAGUGGAUAAAUACACAGCACCCGAUCGGGUGUACCCCAGAACUCUGUGGGAAGCUCAGGAGAAGAUAGCUGGGCUCGUUGCUGAGAUAUUCGUAUCAUCGAUGGUCACAGGAAAAACCUCUCCAGCAUACUCCUGGCAAAUGUCCAAACUAUUGAAAACAAAAUGGAUGAAGUUAAGAUUGACUUACCUUCCAGAGGAAACUGAGACAGUGCUGUGUGCUCUGCUUUAAUGACAUAUCAUACUCCUGGUACACCUGACUGUGCCUUACAAUCUGAAGGUUUCUCUAUAUGUUGCAUGGACUGCUCAGCGUCCUCAGGUAAGGCAAGGGGUGGUGGAGUCUGCUUUUUAAUCAACACCUCCUGGCAUUUAGACGUGGUGACCCUGACAAGUUACUGCUCCCUGCCCUUCGAAUAUCUAACUUUGAACUGCCAUCCCUACGAACCUGCCAUAUGUGUUUACCUCUGCUAUCCUGACAGCAGUCUACAUAUCACCCAUUGUGGAAGUGAAGAGUGCUCUUAACGAAAUAUACACCGCCUAAAUGCACUUGAGAUGGAACACCCUGAGGCCUUAGUCAUUAUAACCAGUGACUUCAACCAGGCCAAUCUCAAGAGGGUGCAACCAAAAUACCAUUAACACAUCUCCUGUCCCACCAGGGGGUCAAACAUCCUUGAUUAUUGCUACACAACCAUACUCUGUCCGCACUUUGGAAAAUCAGAUUGCAAUGCUAUAUUCCUCCUCCUAGACUACAUGCAGAACUUUGAAAUGUGAGGACCCAGGACAGAAAAUAGCACAGUGCUGACCUGAGGCAUCGAAAGAACUGCUUGGAAUCAGUCCACAUUCAAGAAUUCUGGAGGCAAUCUAGACAAAACGUCACCAUUAUCACAGACUUCAUGAGCAAGUGCUUAGAGGACUGCAUGCCCGAGAAACCUUGGAUAAAUUGGGAAAUCUACUUCCUACUGAAGGCCAGGUGAUCCUAACUUCUAUGUAAAUCCAGAUACAACCUCCGUAAGGCUAUUAGAGAUGCCAAGAGGCAAUACCAACUAUGUUAGAGGCCCAAACUAACCACACGGACACCCGCCAUCUGCGGCAAGGCCCACACCACAUAAUGGGCUACAAAACAAAGCAGAACAAAAUAGUGGACAAAAAUACAUCCUUCCCUGAUGCGCUCAAUGCAUUUUACGUCGAGUUUGAACAGUAGGCCAGUGAAAUGUUAUCACCUGCCCUGACAGCCUCAGUUGCACCUGUUCCCUCAGUCACCGCAGCAGGCGUCAGUUCGGCCUUCCUGAGAGUGAACCCAUGGAAGAUGAUUGGUCCAGAUGGAGUUCACAGCCGUGCACUUAGAUCAUGGCACUCACUAGCUGGCAGGAGUAUUCGCUGACAUCAUUAACCUCUCUUGCUGCAAUCUGAAGUCCCCACCUGCUUUAAGAAAACUACAUCAUCCGAGGAACCAAAAGAAACACAAGCAUUGUGCCUCAAUGACUACCACCUGGUGGCUUUGAUCUCCAUAAUUAUGAGGGGCUUCGAGACGUUAAUCAUGGCUCAUGUAAACACUUGCCCCACCCCAACCUCCCUCGAUUCCUUGCAAUUUGCCUACUGGCGCAACAGGUCCACAGCAGAGACCAUCACGCUAGCCCUACACUCAUCUGUGGAACAUCUGGAUAGUAAAGAUACCUAUAUCAGGCUUGUACUUAUUGACUACAGCUCCACCUUCAACAGUUUAAUCUCCAAACUCAGAGGCCUACAUCUCUACUCCAUCCUGCGCAACUGGAUCCUCAACUUCCUGACCCACAGACUGCAAUCGAUGAAGAUAGAUAAUGGCACCUCCUCCAUGACAGUCCUCAACACCAAACCCCUUCAAAAAUGUGUAUACAGCCCUGUACUCUAUUCCCUGUACACUCAUGACUGGGUGGCCAAAUUUCAUCCAAACCCCAUUUACAAGUUUGUUGACAACACUACUGUUGUAAGCCAGAUAUCAAACAAUGAUGAGACAAAAUACAGGAAAGAGAUACAGUGCUUGGUGGUGUGGUGUAGAGAUAACAAUCUCUCUCUCAGAUCCAAGAUGGCGGCGACUCAGCAAGUCUGAGUUUACAGUGCUCUUCCCAAAACCUGGGUAAAGUGAGUUACUCACCCCCACCACACUUACCAAACCACCCAAAAAAAAUUUCUAACCUUAAUUAGCUGCUUACUAUUAUAUUUAAGCAGUUUAAUAUUAAGUGGAUAAUGAGUAAACCAAAGGGAUCCCGCAGCUCUCAGAAAACAAAGACCCCUCUCCCACCCUCCUCUCCUCCUCCGGCUGCAGCUGAUGUAAAAACAGGCCUUGAAGAGAUGAUUGCCAGGCUGGAAACGACAC